rnacentral:rRNA from 1 species
AUACGGAGGAUCCGAGCGUUAUCCGGAUUUAUUGGGUUUAAAGGGUGCGCAGGCGGCCAUUUAAGUCAGCGGUUAAAUCGUGGGGCUCAACCCCAUUCUGCCGUUGAUACUGGGUGGCUUGAUUGCGGUCGAGGUUGGCGGAAUUCGUUGUGUAGCGGUGAAAUGCAUAGAUAUGACGAAGAACACCGAUUGCGUAGGCAGGUGACCAGACCGCAAAUGACGCUCAUGCACGAAAGUGCGGGGAUCGAACAGGAUUAGAUACCCUGGUAGUCCGCACAGUAAACGAUGAAUACUUGUUUUCGACGAUAUAAUGUCGGAGGCAAAGCGAAAGCGAUAAGUAUUCCACCUGGGGAGUACGCCGGCAACGGUGAAACUCAAAGGAAUUGACGGGG